rnacentral:siRNA from 1 species
ACUUCUUGGUUGUCGGCACCA